GAUUCCGUGGCGCAACGGUAGCGCGUCUGAUUGCAGAACGGAAGGUUGCGUGUUUAAAUCACGUCGGGUUCU
rnacentral:tRNA from 1 species